rnacentral:lncRNA from 1 species
CCAGCUUGAAAGGAUGGUGUCGCGAAAUAAAGAAGAAAUUGCUGCGAUUUGCUAUUUUCUCCAAGAACACGAGAUGAGUGGGACGGUUCUGGUCCACUAAAA